AUUCUCCUGAGGAGGGGUUCCAAACCUCAGCCCCCGCCUCCAAACUCCCGCUUCCACCCUCUCGCUCUCAGAGAACGCCGCUGCCUCCUGCUUCACUGAGAGACCCGAAGCCACAGGUCAGCCUCUUGCUCGCUUUCCUCCCGGGUCUCCCACACUGCCUUUGACAGAGCAGAAGGACACGUGAGUUCUGUGCUAGCCGUCCUCUCAGGUGGACCCCAGUGAUCCCCGCCUGCUGGUGUUCACGCCGUUUGUCGUCCUCCCACACUGUCCCAGGAUUAACGCGUACAAACAGAACUGAUGGUAAACGACGCCAUCACACCAACGUUCGCUUACGAAAGGCACAGCAGCGUCUAUUUGGGCUUCUGCUUUCUUACACGCUCUUGGAUCGCUUGCCCUAGAAACCUUGUCAUCAGCAGCCCUAUGGGGAGGCCUGUGUGGUGAGAAACAUAAGCUCCUUGUCACCAUUCAGACGCAGCUGCUCCAGCUCCAGUCAAGUCUUCAGAGACUGUAGCUCUGGCCGCCAGCUUAACUGCACCCUCCCAAGACAUCUGGAGCCAGAACUACCCAGCUAAGCAGCUCUCAGAUUCCUGACCUUCAGAAAUUACUUGAGAAUUUGUAAAGACGAGAAAUUAGAGAGAGAGUGUCGAAAAAACUCUUUGGAGAAGUCUAGCUACAAAAAACAAAGAAAUAUAGCUUUGCAGCUAAAGCAGUAUGUGGAGUCCAGAAGAGUUUGUUUAAAAUGGGAGACAAUUGAGUGUGUUUGUAAACAAAUGAAAAUGGAUCAAAUGAAGGGGAAAGAUCGAUGGUACGGAAAAGAGAGGAAAGAGCCUAAGUGACUGUCUUUAACAAGGAUAGGGCUUUGAUAAGGAAUAAGGGUUCACAGCACACGUGGAAAAAUAAUUCCUUGUGGGAAGGAGAGACAAACUUCUAUUCUUUCAGGAAAGGAGAACAUGAUACAGACAUAGAAGUUUGAGAGGAAAGGCUGAUGAAAGUCCUUUUUGUUGACUUUUGUUUUCUCAGUGAAUUUGAGGAGCAGACUUCAGUGGAAGUCUAAGAAACUGGAAGAUGUAAAUCCAUGCAGCGUAUGAAAGAUUGAGCUUACCAGAAAGCAGCAGUCAGGGAGAGUGCAGAAUUGAACUGGCACUGGAGGGGGUGAUCGGGAAGCGACAGUUUCGACCUGGCUGUCAGGCAGCAGCACUUGCUGUGUGGGCAUAUGCAUGGAGGUGGGACAAGGCCGGACCUACACGGAGGAGCUAGAGUGACGACUCCAUUAUAUUAAAUACUAUAUGAUCAAAAUUAUCAUGGGUUCAAAGUGGAUGAGGAGGAGGGGAAUAAAGACACAAGAGGGCGGAGGGGUAGAGAGAACAUGGGUUAAAGCUCUCAGAGUCUUCUUAGAACUGUUUCUAUAGGUGACCAAGGAGCUAAACAGGAAAGACGUUCCUCAGAGAAUGAGAUACAUGAAUUUACUGUGAAAUUUGGAUUUUAAAAUUGAAGCAGUGAGAGAAUACGUAGCUGACUUGGAGUGGAAGGAAUACUAACUGAGGAUGAGAUGGCUAAGACAUCAGAGUAUUGGCUAAGUCAGCUACAGGACCCUGAUGGUGCGGAAAGCUGAAGAGCAGAUAAAACACCUGAUCAGGUUUGUAUUUUAUCAAUAGAAACAUCCCAGCUACAACAAGGAUGAUAGAUCUGAAAGGAUCAAGACUGGAGAAAGGGAGACCAUUCCUGCAAACCUGUAAGAUCAUGGCGGUUCAGAUUAAGAUGGUGGGAAAGCGGGAAAGAAAGGGACGUUUUCAAGAGAUGCUGAGAUGGCAGAAGGGCUCUGGGUUUUGUGGCAGGAGGUGCGAGUGAGGAAGGAGUCAAGACACCAAGAUAAGGUAACUGAGGCAGAUGCUCACACCAUUCUCUGGACAAGGGGAAAGAGAACGGUGUGAGCCAUCUGCCUCAGUUACCUUAUCUUACUGCUCUGGGGACCACCUAAACUGGAGAUAAAUCACCUAAUCAGUAUGGAUAUAAAAAUAGUACAGCAAUGACAACAAUUAAUAUCUAGAGGUCAAAAUUCCAGCUAAGGUUUAGAACUCAAAUGUUGAUAAUACAUUUCCAUGGUUUGAUACAGUUUCUAUAAAAUAGUACCACACAGAGAAGUCUUUUAAGUCUAGAAGAAAAUUUAAAUUAUUAAUAAAUUUGGUCUGUACAUAAUUGCUUUGCCUGAAGAUUAAAGGACUCCCAAACAUCAUAAAGAUUAAAUAUUAAAAUAAGUUACUUCCAUUUCUUGAUAGAUGGGUCAAUAGCUCGUUUUUAAAUUUGCAUUUAAAAAAUCAGUUAAGAAGCAUAACAUCAGUGCAAUUUGAUUGGACUAAUAUUUUGAAACUCUCACUAAUGAAAUUAACAUGGUGCCCCACAAUACACAACUUAAAUAUUUAAAAACUGAAUAUAUAACUUUGUUACAUGCUGUUUUCUCAAUGACAAGUUGAUGUUGUGAGCACAGGUUUUAGAAACAGUUGUGUUUCUAAAAAAGUUACUUUUAUAACAUCUUUCAUUUGCUGACUAUUAACCUUCUGAAUAUAAUGGAAAAGUCAACCUGCAUAGUAAGAAUUUCUGAUUCAUUCAAAUAAUAACCCAAUAUCCAUGUUAAUUACUGUGAUUUAAUUAUGGCAUCUUCCCCCUUUCCAGAAUAUUUAUGAAUUAUUAUUUGUGUAAUCCCAAGGUAUGUUAUUAAUGCAAAUGAAAGGACAGUUUAGUUAUAAAUAUUAAUGACCUAGGCAAAGUAACUUUGGGCCUGGAAUUUUAUAACACAGUCUAUUUUUGUCUUUAAUUCCUCAUAUUGCUUGAUUAUAGAUGUUUCAAUCAGGCAUAGAUUUUGUUUUAUUCUCUUUGAUGGAAGGUUAGAAAUAAUAGUAUUAUAAUAAUCAAAUUUUUUAAAAUACAGCAUAAUGUAAUCUGUGGUAGUUUUUGAAAUUUCCAUUUGGUUGUAAAAUAUGUUCUCCUGUAAUAAUUAAGUACAUAAUGAAUUUAAGGGCUAAAGAACAGCUGCUUUAUAACAUUUACAAGAAGUAAUUUACAUUUCUGAGAGGAAGUAAGAAAUUUUUCACACAAAUGUAAUUAGAAUCCGCUGGACCCCUUUUCUAUUAGUCUUUUAAAGGCAGGUUUCUCUGAUACACAUUUUUCAAUCACUGUUAAAGAAACUCAGUACUUUCCUUCUCCACUUGUAAUAUAAGUGUUUAAGGGUAUAUGAAAUUCUUCAGGCACUUUACUUUCGGGUCUACAUGAUGAAUUUUCAGGGUGACUAUAACUACUGUAGCUUCAAUAAUUCAUAACUAAUUCUCAAUUAUUAUCUUAUGUAGCUUUAAACACGGAAGUAUAUUCUAGGAAAGUCUGCAAAUAAAUAUUCCAUUUACCA